rnacentral:rRNA from 1 species
UACGUAGGCAGCGAGCGUUGUUCGGAGUUACUGGGCGUAAAGAGUGCGUAGGCGGUUUUCUAAGUUUGGUGUGAAAUCUCCCGGCUCAACUGGGAGGGUGCGCCGAAGACUGGAAGGCUUGAGUAUGGGAGAGGUAAGCGGAAUUCCUGGUGUAGCGGUGAAAUGCGUAGAUACCAGGAGGAACACCUGCGGUGUAGACGGCUUACUGGACCAUAACUGACGCUGAGGCACGAAAGCGUGGGUAGCAAACAGG